rnacentral:rRNA from 1 species
CACUGGCCGCAUGCCUAGCACAUGCAAGUCUAACGAACCCUUCGGGGUUAGUGGCGCACGGGUGCGUAACGCGUGGGAAUCUGCCCUUUGCUUCGGAAUAACUCAGGGAAACUUGUGCUAAUACCGGAUGAUGUCGAAAGACCAAAGAUUUAUCGGCAAGGGAUGAGCCCGCGUAGGAUUAGGUAGUUGGUGGGGUAAAGGCCUACCAAGCCGACGAUCCUUAGCUGGUCUGAGAGGAUGAUCAGCCACACUGGUACUGAGACACGGCCCAGACUCCUACGGGAGGCAGCAGUGGGGAAUAUUGGACAAUGGGCGAAAGCCUGAUCCAGCAAUGCCGCGUGAGUGAUGAAGGCCUUAGGGUCGUAAAGCUCUUUUACCAGGGAUGAUAAUGACAGUACCUGGAGAAUAAGCUCCGGCUAACUCCGUGCCAGCAGCCGCGGUAAUACGGAGGGAGCUAGCGUUGUUCGGAAUUACUGGGCGUAAAGCGUACGUAGGCGGUUAUUCAAGUCAGAGGUGAAAGCCCGGGGCUCAACCCCGGAACGGCCUUUGAAACUAGGUAGCUAGAAUCUUGGAGAGGUCAGUGGAAUUCCGAGUGUAGAGGUGAAAUUCGUAGAUAUUCGGAAGAACACCAGUGGCGAAGGCGACUGACUGGACAAGUAUUGACGCUGAGGUACGAAAGCGUGGGGAGCAAACAGGAUUAGAUACCCUGGUAGUCCACGCCGUAAACGAUGAUAACUAGCUGUCCGGGCACUUGGUGCCUGGGUGGCGCAGCUAACGCAUUAAGUUAUCCGCCUGGGGAGUACGGUC